ensembl:lncRNA
AAUAAAUAAAAAUAUACAAAUAACGGUCAGCUAACAUUUUUUAUUUUGUAAAUUGUUUUCCAAUCAGUUGGUAGCUAAUUUUUAUCAAACCGUCCUUAAUAUAAUAAUAUAAAAGCAAGAACACGAUAAACAAAAAACAGGAUAACUAAAAAACAGGAUAACUAAAAAACAGGAUAACAACUAAAAAACAGGAUAACAACUAAAAAACAGGAUAACUAAAAAACAGGAUAACAAUUAAAAAACAGGAUAACAACUAAAAAACAGGAUAACAAUUAAAAAACAGGAUAACAAUUAAAAAACAGGAUAACAACUAAAAAACAAGAUAACUAACACUCUCACAUGAGCAAAAUGAACACGACCUAUUACAAAGAAAGAGACCAAAGCCAAACAAACAACUUAAAUAAAAAAAACGAUUUGGAGAGUUCGAGUUUUUCCAAUGAAGACAACUAUGUUUUUAUCGAUGAAAAAUAUAAAGAAUAUUUUGAAUUGAUAUGUGAUAUGUUUGAAGAGAAGGUCGAAUAUAUUUUGAAAAAGCAUUUUAAAAAAAAUGACCCAUUAAAUAAAAAUAAAUUAUUAUGUUUAAAUGUCUGUGUUUUAUGGAGGAAAAGGUUUUUACAACUGCUUAGUAAAACAUUAAAUGAAUACGACGAAUAUAAAAAAGCAAACAACAUCAAUACCGACAAAAGCAAUGAUAAUAAUAAUAAUAAUAAUAAAAAGAAUGUCGAAACAGAAAGGGAUAAGAAUAAUGAUCAUGGUCUUACGAACAAUUUAUCAAAUAAAUUAAUUGAUGAUAAGUUAAAAGUGCAUGAUGGGAUAGAAAAUAAAAUGAAAGAGCAAAAAAAAAAUAUAAAUAAAGAGAACGCAGAAAAAGAUGAAAAUGAUACGAAUACAAGUGAUAGUAACAAAAAAAAUGAAACUAGUAAUGACAAUAAUAACACUAAUAAUGAUACGCUGAAUUAUAAAAUAAAUACAGAUGACAAAAAUGUGAAUAGUACUACUGAUAGUAGUAGUAGUAGUAAUAAUAAUAAGAAUAAUGAAGUUAGUAAUGAUUUAAAAAGUUUUAUUAAAAAUGUUAAAGUUGUAGAUAAUAAGAGCAUAGAAGUGAUAUAUGAUGUAAAUGAGAUCGCUGAGGAUAUAAGACCAUGUGCCGAACUAUCAACUGAUGAAUUAUAUUAUUUAUUAGUUGAAUCAAAAAAAAGUGAAAAUGAAUAUAAAAAAAGAAUUUAUACUUUUUUAAAAUAUCUACCAUUAGUUAUUAGAUGUAUAGAAAAUAAAAGUUUGAUAGAAAAAAAUAUUUUAGAACAAAAAAUAUUUUUAAACAAUGACAACAACCUUAAUGAAAACUACAAUAACAACCUUAACCUUAACCCUAACCUUAAUAGUAAUAACAAUUAUAACAGUAACUAUAAUGACAAUAUCGUACCACCAAAUGGAACUGAAAAUGGGUUAACUGUAGAUAUAAAAACUAAACUAGACACUAUAGCAAACUUCAAUUGUAACCUGUCUGAAAAUUUAGAAAACGUUUUUAGUAAUACAUCAAAUUUAUUUGAAAACAUGAAUAAUGAUCAAGAUUUUAUUACAAAUAACUUUGACAUGGUAAAUAAUGAAAAUAACAAUCAUAAUCAUAAUAAUAAUAAUAAUAACAGUAAUGGCUUAUUACAAAAUACAACUACACAAAAUAACUCAAUGAAUAUGACUGAUACUAGAGGAGGAGGAGGAGGAGGAGGAGGAGGAGGAGGACAAACAAAUAAUUUAUUAUAUGGCAAUACCACCACUACUGCUAAUACGGUUGGUACUAAUAAUAAUAAUAUCACCCAAUUUGAGUAUAAUAAUACUUUUAAAAAUAGUUUAAACCAAAAAAAUAUUAACUAUAACAAUCAUAAUCCUAAUCCUAUGGUAAUGUCCUUAUCAAACAUAAACGAUUUGUCAGUAAUAAACAACAUGAACAAUAAAUCAUAUGUUGGUACAAAAGAUGAACAAAAUGAUAAUGAACAAUCUUUUUAUAUUUAUAAUAAUAAUAUGAAUAAAAUAAAUUUAUAUGGUUUGGAUAUUUUAAUAAAUUUAAAUAAUAAUUUAGUAUAUAAAAUUAAUCAUAUUUAUAGUUUAAUUCAGUUUUACACUAUGCUUGCGAAAGACGUCUUUAAUGAAUCAUGANNNNNNNNNNNNNNNNNNNNNNNNNNNNNNNNNNNNNNNNNNNNNNNNNNNNNNNNNNNNNNNNNNNNNNNNNNNNNNNNNNNNNNNNNNNNNNNNNNNNUUUAAUAAAUAAAUGGUUUAAUAAAUAAAUGGUUUAAUA